UAAUUUCUUGGUCGGCCUGUUGUUUUUACGAUUACUGGAGCUGCUUGGACCAUUCCUCUUGAAUACAAUUUUUGCCACCUUUUGUUCGCUGGCAGUUAUAUUUGUAAAGAAAAAUGUACUGGAAACUAAAGGCAAAACACUUCAAGAGAUUGAAGUUGCACUUCUUCCACCAGGAGAACUUUUACUACUAGAUUCUGUCAAAGUCCACAACUGAAUUGGGGACCAUAUUCUUAUUCUG